UGCAGAAUCUAUCUACGAGCUUUACUCUGACCCAAGCCCAAUCUACGAAUCCGGCUCAGCUUGGAAAGAGGUCAUCUUAGCCCCUUCAAGGUCUGCCAUUCAAUUAGAGCUCAAAACGUCAAUUCAAAUGCUUGAAAUGCCACCGCCAUCAAGAAAGAGUUAGCUUGAAGAACCGAUGGAGUCUUUCAGAAUUUAGCCCCAAAUUUUAACUUGUGAUAUUUAAUUUGGAGAACUGUGUGUGCUUAUUCAACUGGACAUGGUUUUUGCUAACUUCAAAAACGGGAACAAAAUUACAGGAGAAACAGAGAUCAAAGCGAUUUCAUUCAACUAAAUUUGCACUCCAUUUAAUUUUUUUACUCAAAUCUACAUAGAAAAGCCUAAAGGACUAACCAACCACCCCAAAUUUACAAAUUCUACGCACGAAAACAGCUCGACAAAUACCCACGACUUCCCUACUUCUUCGCCUUCUUGACCGUCACUUUCUUGGCCGGUGAUUUAAUACUCUUUGGCUUUUUCGUUACUUUAACCGGCGUCUUCUUCUUAGAAACUGACCCCUUCUUUCCCGGCGAUUUCGCUGCCGUAAAUUUUGCGGCUUUCUUUCCUGGAGACUUCACGGCUGUAGUUUCCACCGCCUUCUUUGGCUUUGCCCCCGCUGCAGCCUUCUGCUUCCCUGCUGCGCCCCUAGGCUUAGCGGGAGCCUCAGUCUUCUCCUUCGGCUUGGCCGGUGCUUUAGCAUCUGAGACAGAAGUAGCUUUAGGAGGAAGCUUAAAGGAGUUCUUAACUUUAACAAGCUUGCCAUUAGCAACAAGUUUCUUCAGUUGAAUAAGCAAUAGCUUCUUGAAGUUAGCAGGCAAGUUAGGAUUUUGCUUCCCUUCUAUGAACUUGGCGAUCGCGACCUGACUCGACCCGGUUCUCUCUUUCAACGCCACAAUAGCCUCCUUUAUCAUCUAUCACCAAAAUUGUUUUAAAAGGAACAAAAGAUAAUAAGAUCAAAUCACGCACACCUACAUAUAAUAUAAAGAAAAUAAUCGAAAUGUACAUACCUCGCUGUAAGGAGGAUAGGCUCUGGGUUUCUUAGGAGCAGAGGAAGUUUUCUUAGAUUUUGGGUCCUUUGAAGCUUUGGCUUUGGCCUUCUCCGGAGCUUUGACGGCCAUGAUGGUGGCAGAGAAUUGAAGGAUAAAAGAAGUGAUAUUUCAGGGAUUUGAAAUUGGGAAAUAGAAGGUAAAAGAAAAUUUGGAAAUGAGAGUGAGUUUUCUGGGGACAAAAAUGAAGCGAUAUAUAAAGGAUCUGGAAAUGGGAAAGUCGAGCUUUGAUUGAUGGAAAUAGGUUUCACUCGGAUCGUGAAUUCGUGAUCCGUGGGAGAAGGAAUUCUCAGUGUGUGAGUCGUUGGAUUGGAA
rnacentral:misc_RNA from 1 species